rnacentral:rRNA from 1 species
UACAGAGGUCUCAACCGUUGUUCGGAUUCAUUGGGCGUAAAGGGUAGGUAGGUGGUCUCAUUUGUCCGGGGUGAAAUCCUUGGGCUUAACUCAAGAAGUGCCCCGGAAACGGUGAGACUAGAGUACUGGAGAGGGUCGUGGAAUUCCCGGUGUAGCGGUGAAAUGCGUAGAGAUCGGGAGGAACACCAGAGGCGAAGGCGGCGACCUGGACAGUUACUGACACUCAACUACGAAAGCGUGGGGAGCAAACAGG